rnacentral:lncRNA from 1 species
AAAAAUUACGGUGAUACGAGAACUAGACAAGGACCCAAGUUCCAUUUUGGGUCGGAAGCCAUAGAAAACUCAAAAGAUCGUCACUCUUCUUGUGAGGAAGCAAGCAAAGGGAGAAUGUUACACUAUGUUACCCAAAGAAAGGAUCAAAACUGCACUAAAACACAACACAAAGAAAUCAAAUUUUAAUCAGUUGAACGACAAGAUAAUCGAUAAAAAACUAAAGAAAGUUUAAACGGUAAAGCAUAAAAAAAAACCACGCACCUGGGAUGCAAGAGAGAAAAAGGCGAGGAUGAAGACAAUAACAUAUUGAGAAACGACAAUGCAAUGCCGCAAGAGAUAAAAAGUAAAGGUGCGCAAGCGAGUAAAAGAAGAGGAGAAGCAGAGAAAAAGGAGAAGAGAUGAAGACGAGAUCAGAAACUGAAUGGUGUGAAGAGUCUGCGGUCUAUUUAAAAUGAAAUGGGGCGUCGGUUGUUCCUGAAACCGACGUCUAUAGACGUCGGUGUUUCAGGGGAUCCGACGUAUAUGAAGCUGAAAAGAUUAACGUUUUGGUUUCUUGUCAGGGUAGUUCACGUCGGUG